rnacentral:tRNA from 1 species
GGGCCCGUUGUGUAGCCAGGAGAUCACGUGGGCUUCCGGAGCCCAAUGACGCGGGUUCAAAUCCCGCCGGGCCCG